rnacentral:rRNA from 1 species
CAGCCGUAAACUAUGCGCGUUAGGUGUACUGGUGACCACGAGUCACCGGGGUGCCGAAGGGAAACCGUGAAACGUGCCGCCUGGGAAGUACGGUCGCAAGGCUGAAACUUAAAGGAGUUGGCGGGGGAGCACCACAACGGGUGGAGCCUGCGGUUUAAUUGGACUCAACGCCGGGAAGCUCACCGGAUAAGACAGCGGAAUGAUUGCCGGGCUGAAGGCUCUGCAUGACUAGCUGAGAGGAGGUGCAUGGCGUAGACGUCU